AUCUGUAUAAUAUAUAAGUAUAUUUGACUUCCAAUCAAAAAGUCUAAUUUUUUUUAGUACAGAUA
rnacentral:tRNA from 1 species